rnacentral:rRNA from 1 species
UGGGGAAUAUUGGACAAUGGGCGAAAGCCUGAUCCAGCCAUGCCGCGUGUGUGAAGAAGGUCUUCGGAUUUGUAAAGCACUUUAAAGUUGGGAGGAAGGGCAGUUACCUAAUACGCGAUUGUCUUGACGUUACCGACAGAAUAAGCACCGGCUAACUCUGUGCCAGCAGCCGCGGUAAUACAGAGGGUGCAAGCGUUAAUCGGAAUUACUGGGCGUAAAGCGCGCGUAGGUGGUUUGUUAAGUUGGAUGUGAAAUCCCCGGGNUCAACCUGGGAACUGCAUUCAAAACUGACAGGCUAGAGUAUGGUAGAGGGUGGUGGAAUUUCCUGUGUAGCGGUGAAACGCGUAGAUAUAGG